GACAGAGGGUGCAAACGUUGUUCGGAAUUACUGGGCGUAAAGCGUGUGUAGGCGGUCUCAUAAGUCGAACGUGAAAUCCCCGGGCUCAACCCGGGAACUGCGUCCGAUACUGGCAGGCUUGAAUCCGGGAGAGGGAUGCGGAAUUCCAGGUGUAGCGGUGAAAUGCGUAGAUAUCUGGAGGAACACCGGUGGCGAAGGCGGCAUCCUGGACCGGCAUUGACGCUGAGGCGCGAAAGCCAGGGGAGCAAACGGG
rnacentral:rRNA from 1 species